GCUCUGAUGAUCAUUGUAGCAGGGAAACAGACCUCAGUUCUGGUUCUCAUCCUCUGUCUCUCUGGACUCAUGUUGUUCAGGAAGAAGGCCUCCAAACCCACCAACACAAGAGACACAGCAG